CUUAGAUUCGCCCAUAGUUCUUUCCUUUACACUUCACAUAUAAUCCCAAUGAAAACUCAGUUGGCUCCAAUUCAAAAUACACCCAGAAUCUGACCACUUUUCACUACUUCCAUCACUACAUCCCGAGUCCAAACUUUGUCUCUCACCGCACAGAAGUCUCCUGUCUGGCCUCCUGCUUUUUUGUCCUUGCCUCCCCUUCCAUCUACACUAACACCAUAGCAGGCUCAACACAUGAUCCUGUGAAAAAAGUAAGUCAAAUUAUGACACUUCUCUGCUCAAAACUCCCCCAGAGGCUUCUCAUUUUACAGAGUAAACCAGUCCUCUCACCCGGCUCUGGGGUCCUGCCCCCUCCCGCUCUACUGCCCUGCUCACUGUGCCAGCCACACAUGUGGGCCCCCUCACUGUUGCUGGAACACUCGAAACCCAUGCUGGCCACUGGUUGUCGUCUGCCUCUUCCGACUAGAAUGAAUGCUCCAUGAAGGCAGAAGUGUGGUCUUGUUUUGGAUCUACAUCUUUGUUGAUUUGAUUUGAUGCAGAAAACCUGAGCCUUUCGCCUCAAGAUCAGGAAGAUAGAGAAGAGCAAGUGGAGAAUGAUAAUCCGGGAAUGAAGCUGAGUACAGAAGCAAUACCUUCAAUCAAUUAGAAUACAUUCUUCAGGAGGCCAGAGAAUGGAGACUCAAUCAUUAACACCAGAAAAGAAAAACGACUGAGUUCUUAUGUCUAAAACCUGCACGUGACAGAGUCAUAACAGCAAUGCUAGGAAGACGCUCUUUCUCAGCGAUGUUGGGGAAAUUAGAGAAAACAAGCAAAAGGAGGAUCGCACUGAGAACAGGAAAGCUCUAUUUUAGGUUGCUUUUUUUCUUUUAAGAGAAAAUUACCUGUUUUGAGAUCGCCAAGUAAUGCUGAACAGUAAGUAAUAAGCUAGGCUAACAGGAGACAGAAUAAAUACCAAAAAGUACC